CCAGGCUUGACAUGCAUUCGAAAACCGUGGAAACAUCGGCCCCUCUUCGGAGCGCCAGCACAGGUGCUGCAUGGCUGUCGUCAGCUCGUGUCGUGAGAUGUUGGGUUAAGUCCCGCAACGAGCGCAACCCUCGCUCCCAGUUGCCAGCGGUUCGGCCGGGGACUCUGGGGGGACUGCCGGCGUUAAGCCGGAGGAAGGUGGGGACGACGUCAAGUCAUCACGGCCCUUACGUCCAGGGCGACACACGUGCUACAAUGCCCGGUACAGCGCGUCGCGAACCCGCGAGGGGGAGCCAAUCGCUAAAAGCCGGGCUAAGUUCGGAUUGUAGUCUACAACUCGACUACAUGAAGCCGGAAUCGCUAGUAAUCGCGGAUCAGCCACGCCGCGGUGAAUACGUUCCC
rnacentral:rRNA from 1 species